UACGUAGGGUGCAAGCGUUAUCCGGAAUUAUUGGGCGUAAAGAGCUCGUAGGCGGUUUGUCGCGUCUGCUGUGAAAACUGGGGGCUCAACCCCCCAGCCUGCAGUGGGUACGGGCAGACUAGAGUGCGGUAGGGGGAGAUUGGAAUUCCUGGUGUAGCGGUGGAAUGCGCAGAUAUCAGGAGGAACACCGGUGGCGAAGGCGGGUCUCUGGGCAGUAACUGACGCUGAGGAGCGAAAAGCGUGGGGGAGCGAACAGG
rnacentral:rRNA from 1 species